rnacentral:misc_RNA from 1 species
UACGUAGGUGGCAAGCGUUGUCCGGAAUUAUUGGGCGUAAAGAGCUCGUAGGCGGCUUGUUGCGUCGGCUGUGAAAACCCAUGGCUUAACUGUGGGCUUGCAGCCGACACGGGCAGGCUAGAAUUCGGUAGGGGAGACUGGAAUUCCUGGUGUAGCGGUGGAAUGCGUAGAUAUCAGGAGGAACACCGGUGGCGAAGGCGGGUCUCUGGGCCGAUAUUGACGCUGAGGAGCGAAAGCGUGGGGAGCGAACAGG